rnacentral:rRNA from 1 species
GCAUAUCAAUAAGCGGAGGAAAAGAAACCAACAGGGAUUGCCCUAGUAACGGCGAGUGAAGCGGCAACAGCUCAAAUUUGAAAUCUGGCUUCGGCCCGAGUUGUAAUUUGCAGAGGAUGUUUCUGGCGCGGUGCCUUCCGAGUUCCCUGGAACGGGACGCCACAGAGGGUGAGAGCCCCGUAUGGUUGGACACCAAGCCUGUGUGAAACUCCUUCAACGAGUCGAGUAGUUUGGGAAUGCUGCUCAAAAUGGGAGGUAAAUCUCUUCUAAAGCUAAAUACUGGCCAGAGACCGAUAGCGCACAAGUAGAGUGAUCGAAAGAUGAAAAGCACCUUGAAAAGGGGGUUAAACAGUACGUGAAAUUGUUGAAAGGGAAGCGCUCAUGACCAGACUUGUGCUGGGCAGCUCAUCCGGGGUUCUCCCCGGUGCACUCUGCCCAGUUCAGGCCAGCAUCGAUUUUUGCUGGGGGAUAAGAACAGUAGGAACGUGGCCCUCCUUCGGGCGGGUGUUAUAGCCUACUGUACGAUACCCUGGCGGAGAUCGAGGUUCGCGCAUCUGCAAGGAUGCUGGCGUAAUGGUCAUCAGCGACCCGUCUUGAAACACGGACCAAGGAGUCGUCCAUUAGAGCGAGCGUUUGGGUGUAAAACCCGCACGCGUAAUGAAAGUGAAAUUAGGUGAGAGCUUCGGCGCAUCAUCGACCGAUCCUGAUGUUUUCAGAUGGAUUUGAGUAAGAGUUUUAACGGACGGACCCGAAAGACAGUGAACUAUGCUUGUAUAGGGUGAAGCCAGAGGAAACUCUGGUGGAGGCUCGCAGCGGUUCUGACGUGCAAAUCGAUCGUCAAAUAUGAGCAUGGGGGCGAAAGACUAAUCGAACUGUCUAGUAGCUGGUUACCGCCGAAGUUCCCCUCAGGA